rnacentral:rRNA from 1 species
GAUGAACGCUGGCGGCGUGCCUAAUACAUGCAAGUCGAGCGAACGGACGAGAAGCUUGCUCCUCUGAUGUUAUCGGCGGACGGGAGAGUAACAUGUGGAUAACCUACCUAUAAGACUGGGAUAACUUCGGGAAACCGGAGCUAAUACCGGAUGAUAUUUCGAACCUCAUGGUUCAAAAGUGAAAGACGGUCUUGCUUUCGCUUAUAGACGGAUCCGCGCUGCAUUAGCUAGUUGGUAAGGUAACGGCUUACCAAGGCAACGAUGCAUAGCCGACCUGAGAGGGUGAUCGGCCAGCUUGGAACUGAGAAACGGUCCAGACUCCUACGGGAGGACGCGGUAGGGAAUCUUACGCAAUGGAGGAGAGCGUGACGGAGCAACCCCGCGUGAGUGAUGAAGGUCUUCGGAUGGUAAAACUCUGUUAUUAGGGAAGAACAUAUGUGUAAGUAACUGUGCACAUAUUGACGGUACCGAAUCAGAAAGCCACGGCUAACUACGUG